UGGCUCAGAUGGUAAAGCGUCUGCCUGCAAUGCAGGAGACCCAGGUUUGAUCCCUGG
rnacentral:tRNA from 1 species